AUGAAAAAUAAGACACCAUUGCAGAGAUUCAACUCAAAGAUGGACAAUGGAAACCGCUUGCUCUGCUAUUUGAAUUCAGCUUUGCCUUUGAAACACAAAUUUAGGUGAUCUUUGGGUGACAUGAAACUGGGUUCACGAAAACCCUUCUAAAGGUGAGAGAACCCCCAAAUCGUCGUUUGGGGGGGGGGGGGGAGAGAGAGAGCGAGAGAUUGUGGGUUCUUCUCUUGGGUAUACCUCCGACGCAUGAAUCACGGUGACGCCGAGGUGCCGAUAAACUUUGAUGAUCAAAUCCCCUACCAAUAUGUCGGUAGCCAAUUAUCAGAUCUUUUUCCCGGUGAAUGCCGUGAGAUGAACUCCUUUACAGAGGGUGCCCAUAGCAACCAACAAACAGGACGCUCCGGCGAGAAGGAACCACUCAUCUGGAAGCAGCUCGUCAAGCCUUCACCCAUCUUCAAGGAAACCCUCCUCCCAUCUUUACCUUCAGCGAUAAACGACUUUGGGAAGCCAAGCGUGCAGAAACAGACACCGGCUGCAACGACACCACCAAGAAGAAAGAAAACACUGGCAAUCGGAGAUGGAACUUUGUGCUGAUUGUAGGAAAUGGGCUUCUGGGACAAAACAUGAGUUUUUUAUCAAAGUUCUACUCAGUGACUUCUCUCGACAACUUUGGAUUCCCC